UGCUAUUGGAAUUUAGGAUAUCAGUUUGUAGAGCCAUCUAAUUUCUGAAACUAUUUUUUCAAGCAGAAAUUAAUUUCACAAUGAAGAUGGACGCAUGCACAGCUCUUUCACUUUCUUAAUCGUCAACGAUAACUAUCUCUGGUUUCUGAAUGAAUGAGAAACCAACUGUUAUCCAAGUUCCUGGACAGGCAUAGAUUUUGCAGAUCUUUUCAGUGUGUUGUAUUUGUUGUUAUCUCUGUGGAAAAAAAAACAUUUAUUUGUCUAUUGUCACCUUUUUUUGUCUCAUAUUCUUCUUUAAUUUUCAUAUGGUAUAACAGGAUUUUAAGCCGAGAUCAAUUCAAUUCCCUGUGUCAAAUGAUCCUUCUACUGGAAACGGAGAGCAGCAUGACCUUAGGACAAGCAAAAAACAAAUAUGGGUACCAAUUUUGAAAAU
rnacentral:lncRNA from 1 species